rnacentral:lncRNA from 13 species
GCAGGGGAUGGGCCCUUCUGCUGCAGCAUAAGAGGGGUCACCCAAAGACCCAGUGUCAGCUGUCGGGAUGGACUUGCUGUCCAUGGGAUACUGACACCCACUACUGAAGCAGAUCUUGCUCUGACUCUUCUCUAUGAAAGGUACUAAGCUUUCAGUCCAGCAAAGAAGGAAUGAAUGCAGUGGAAAGAGGACUGGCUGGAAAGCUAGAAGCUGUAGACUGCAGCUGCUUUUUUGCUACCCACUAGCAGUGUGACCUGGGCCUCAAGGGUCCACAAUGGGUAAUGGUGGAGUUAUCCUGCCAUGCCUACUGUGCCUUCCUCCAGGACACAAUGGGAGGCCCUUGAUGUCUCUUGCCUGAAUUAUUUCAACGACCUCCAAGGGACUCAUCUGUCUCCAGGACACCCCUCCAUCCUCUCCUGCAUCAUCAUAAAGGGAAACUUUGUAAAGCAGAGACAUGAUCAUGCUUGCCACCUGGUGGAAACCCUUCAGAGACUCUCUACUCUCCAGAGCAGGGACCACAUCCUUAGAGGCUGCAGAGGGCAGGAGGAAACAGAAAUGAGUGGCAGGUCCAUAGGAAUAUGUAGAAGACAAUACAAGCAAGAAGAAUUGAGGAGCAAGAAUGCCCUUGACUUCAUCUCUCAGCUAUUACAAACUCUCCCCUAUUGACGGUUCUGAUUUCCAAGAGAGAAUCUGAUCAUCCAGAGAAAUCACCACAGGCCCUGAUGGGGCAGAAGACACAAAGAUGCUCCCUUGGUCCUUCUCUUUAUAAAGGUCCUAAUUCCAUUUAUGAAGACUUUGCCCUUUGGACCUAAUCACUUCUAAAAGGCCCCAUCUGCUAAUACCAUCACAUGGGGGAUUAGGAGUUCAACGUAUGAAUUUUAGCCAGGGGUGGACACAAACAUUUAGAUAAUCGCACUCCCUCAGAAGGUCUUUGACUGGCAAGGGUUAGGCAGCCUGGGUGGUACAGGACUUGGGGCCAAGAGUAGGUAAGCAGCGUGAGGGGCCUGGGGUGCAAAGUUUAAGGAGGGGCCGCCCUUAGGGUCACGUAAGUGCCUCAUUUGCCUCACCGUAAUUUCACCCCUAACAACUGAUUUCGUGCACGACUUGAAGGCAGUCACUCUCUCUCUGACCAUUAGUUUCUUUACCUGUCAGAUGAAGGGGGCCAGACAAUAAGGCCUGUUAGGUUCUCUGGCUUUGAAACUGCUGCAUAGUUCCAUAGCCCCUGAGACACAGCUCACCCUCUCCGUCCUCCCCACUGGACUUUCCCCCUUUGCCCUACAGGGGCUGCUCAUCUGUGUAGUUAGCGUCCCCAGCCAUGCCUGGCUUCACUAUCAAGGGUUCAGUUCACAAGACACUUAGCGAAGGCAAUCAUGAAAGAACAACAUAGUGCCUGUUCUGGGCCUUUGCAAAGACGUGCUCACAUUCCUUCUCUCAAAGCAAACUUGAUCAGCCUUGACCUGGGGCCGCACCAGACAGAAGGAAUAGUUGGGGGCUGAGGUGCCAUUCGGUGCCCAGAUGAGGUCAGUCACCACAUGGUCCUCAGUAGCCUCAAGGAAUGAGAGGUAUUUGACUCCCUAUUAAUCACCUGGAAGUGUUAUGAAUAUCUUGGGUCAAAGUGACAGUUUGCAUCUUGACAGGAAAGGGGCCUAACGUUCUGACUCCCACUUAGAAAAAGUUCAUGUAGUUUUGUUCCUUCAAGAUAGAAACAGAGGAGCAUAGAGACAGGGAGGGGGAGAAAAUGAGGAGGAGUGAGAAGGCCAGAGGGUGUUUUUUAUCCAGUUCAGUCUCAGAUCCCACACUCCAACCCAAGCUCAAAGGUGUCUGUCAGUUGUCCUGAGUGUGGAGACUUCUCCAAGGGCAGCUUUUUGCAUUGUUGAAUAACAAAAAUUAUUAGAAAUAUUUCAUUUUAAUGUAUUAUAUGUAUAUAAAUAUAAAUAUCAUUGUGAUAUAUAAUAUAAAUACAUAUAUUUAUAUAUAUAGUGUGAAUGAGGAACAGGUUAAUUAGUCCUCCAAAUAAUUGCCCUUAAGAUCUUUGACGACAUUAUCAUAUUCCCCCUGAAUUUCUUAUUCCCCAUACAGAAAAAUAAUAAUAAACGGGUUCUUUCAGCCCGUUCUUUUCUUUCU